GACGUAGGGUGCAAGCGUUUGUCCGGAUUUAUUGGGCGUAAAGAGCUCGUAGGCGGUUUUGUUGCGUCGGCUGUGAAAUCCCCGAGGCUCAACCUCGGGUCUGCAGUCGAUACGAGCAAACUAGAGUGUUGCAGGGGGAGACUGGAAUUCCUGGUGUAGCGGUGAAAUGCGCAGAUAUCAGGAGGAACACCGAUGGCGAAGGCAGCUCGCUGGGGACGGUACUGACGCUGAGGCGCGAAAAGCGUGGGGGAGCGAACAGGG
rnacentral:rRNA from 1 species